GCCGGGUGCGCCUUCUGAUUCUCCGUAUCUGUUAAUGAGGUUGAACCUUGCUUCUGGGAGGAGGCAGAUGAGACAGUGUGUGUAAAAUUUGGAGCAGAAGAUGAGGCAGCGUCUAAAGUAUCUACCGUCUGUUCUGAAUUUGGUAUAGUGGGAUUUUCCGUUGCUCCGAUAGGAGAAGGGGAAAAGGAGUUCACUUCUGAGAUCCAAGGCUUAUUUGCAGAAAAAUCUGCAUUCAAAGCGGGACUAGAUCCUUUUAACGGAUUAAUUUUUGUAUUUAAACCAACUUCCAAACGGUUGUUUUCGGGUGCCAUAGAAGGUGCAUCAGAAAAUUGCAAGGGACCUAAAGGUGCAGAAUCCAAAGUUAACGUUUCAAACGGAAGAGAUUUCAAAUUGACGCUUCGUUUCCUAGGAGAUGUAUAGAUAUGAGUUUUUGGUGGAGAAGCUUGAACAUUCGGCGACUCUUCUUCCACUCCUUCAGCUGAGGGCUCUUGGUCGGUUUUUGGAGGGUUCAGUGGAGAAACGGAAUCUGCGAAUGGAUUAAAUGCAUCGUCUUCUUCAUAUAUAUUAUGCCCAAGCAUGAUGGUGGCCGGUUGGGUUUUUGGAUCUGAUCACUGAAAUCGUGCCUGAAAUGGUGAUGCGCAGCCCAACGACGACUAGCGAAAAAUAACGAUGGUUAAAUACGUUUAGCAAUGCGGGGUGACUUGCGGUGCAACUAGAUAAGUGUCAACAAUUCAAGUUUCUAAUUCCUUUUAAGGCUACAUUAAAUUAUAUUUAGCUUGUAGAAGCAGUAUAUUGCGUUAUACAGUAUUGUGAGUGGUG